AUUGAACGCUGGCGGCAGGCCUAACACAUGCAAGUCGAGCGGAUGAAGGGAGCUUGCUCCUGGAUUCAGCGGCGGACGGGUGAGUAAUGCCUAGGAAUCUGCCUGGUAGUGGGGGAUAACGUCCGGAAACGGGCGCUAAUACCGCAUACGUCCUGAGGGAGAAAGUGGGGGAUCUUCGGACCUCACGCUAUCAGAUGAGCCUAGGUCGGAUUAGCUAGUUGGUGGGGUAAAGGCCUACCAAGGCGACGAUCCGUAACUGGUCUGAGAGGAUGAUCAGUCACACUGGAACUGAGACACGGUCCAGACUCCUACGGGAGGCAGUAGUGGGGAAUAUUGGACAAUGGGCGAAAGCCUGAUCCAGCCAUGCCGCGUGUGUGAAGAAGGUCUUCGGAUUGUAAAGCACUUUAAGUUGGGAGGAAGGGCAGUAAGUUAAUACCUUGCUGUUUUGACGUUACCAAAAGAAUAAGCACCGGCUAACUUCGUG
rnacentral:rRNA from 1 species